UGAGAUACCUGAAGUUCAAUUCCGUCAAUUGAUUGAGUAUUGGGAUGAUGAAGAUGUCCAAGCUAUGUGCCAAUUAAAUUCUGAAAACAGGAAAAAAC